rnacentral:rRNA from 1 species
CGGGGGGAGCAAGCGUUGUUCGGAUUUACUGGGCGUAAAGGGCGCGUAGGCGGCCACCGCAAGUCAGUUGUGAAAUCUCCGAGCUUAACUCGGAAAGGUCAACUGAUACUGCGGGGCUAGAGUGCGGAAGGGGCAACUGGAAUUCUUGGUGUAGCGGUGAAAUGCGUAGAUAUCAAGAGGAACACCUGCGGCGAAGGCGGGUUGCUGGGCCGACACUGACGCUGAGGCGCGAAAGCUAGGGGAGCGAACGGGAUUAGAUACCCCGGUAGUCCUAGCCUUAAACGAUGAAUGCUUGGUGUCUGGGGUUAUAUAGUCCCCGGGUGCCGUCGCUAACGCUUUAAGCAUUCCGCCUGGGGAGUACGGUCGCAAGACUG